rnacentral:rRNA from 1 species
AUUGAACGCUGGCGGCAUGCCUUACACAUGCAAGUCGAACGGCAGCACGGGUGCUUGCUCCUGGUGGCGAGUGGCGAACGGGUGAGUAAUACAUCGGCACAUGUCCUUUCGUUGGGGUUAGCCCUGCGAAAGCCGGAUUAAUACCGCAUACGAUCUACGGCUGCCAGCGGGGGCCCUGCGUCUUUCGCCCUUUCGCGUUUGCCGAUGGCGGAUUAGCUAGUUGGUGGGGUAAAGGCCUACCAAGGCGACGAUCAGUAGCUGGUCUGAGAGGAUGACCAGCCACACUGGGACUGAGACACGGCCCAGACUCCUACGGGAGGCAGCAGUGGGGAAUUUUGGACAAUGGGCGAAAGCCUGAUCCAGCAAUGCCGCGUGUGUGAAGAAGGCCUUCGGGUUGUAAAGCACUUUUGUCCGGAAAGAAAAGCUGGGGCCUAAUACGGUCGGGGGAUGACGGUACCGGAAGAAUAAGCACCGGCUAACUACGUG